rnacentral:lncRNA from 1 species
GUGGGUAGGUAGGUAGGUAAAUAAUUUUAUUUUUCCCAAAAGCCUGAAUAUUAUCGGAUGAUCCGGCAAGCCCGAAAAUCAGAAAUGAAUAAAAUAAUAUUUGGCUUAGUUUUGACAAUAAAAUUUUAUGAGUAGGGCCAUUUUUGCAGGGUCGGUCAGGAUUGGAGAAACAAACAAUAUUUUAUAUUAGGCAUGAUUUUUUUUUUAUUAAUUGUUAUUGACUUUGAACAUGUUGAACUAAAUUGGAUUGUUUAAAUCUUUAUAUGUUGAGAUCUUUAAUGGAUGACCUAUAAAGGAAGUGUUUUCUCAUUAUUGAAGGCAGGCCCAUGAUUGGCCUUUAAUUUCUUGCAUCCGCUUCAU